rnacentral:lncRNA from 1 species
AGAAUUAAGCCAUUAAACAUAAUAAAACCCCAAAAAUACGGUGAAUAAUACAAUUUGCGGAAUACAAAAACAGCACAACCCGAUACUGGGGUGUCACUAGUCAUGAACAUCUAAAAAUACGGAAUAAGACAAGAAAGUCUACAGAGUUCAAUACAAAUCUAAAACAAAGAGAAGUAAGAUAAGGGAAAAAGCUCUAGUUGCUAACACCGGCAGCUACCUAGAGAAUCUUCGGAUCCACCUGAACUGGAAAGAUCAACACUCGGUAGUGGGACCAGAUGCGCCUGAAUCUGCACACAGGAUGCAGAGAGUAAAAUGAGUACUCCAACUCAAUGAGUAAUAAUCAUAAAUAAAGACUGAAAGCAAGAAAUCACGUAAAGCACAUUAUAGGGUAUACGGAAGCAGUAAAAGCCAGUAAAAGUAGUGAUAAUGUGUAAAGUCAUUUCGAUUCAGUUCAAAUUUCAUGAAACAUCUUUUUAACAAUUAAGCAGGUAAAUGACAGACAAAUAAAAUAGAUAAGCACAUAAAUGAUUGCCCCUCAGGCACAAUGUCAACAAUACUAGCCCCUCGGGCUAUAUCUCACAUCACAAUGGGUACCCGCGCUCACUGGGAGUGUGCAGAUGAGGAAGGGCCCCUUUCAGCCCAAGCGCAAUAUCAAGUCAUCUCGUGGCAUCAUCACUAGGCCCUCGGCCUCAUAUCAACAAGCCACCUCGUGGCAUACAUAUCUCAGGCCCUCGGCCUCAUAAUCAUAAUCAGUGUUUCCUCACAAGUAGACACUCGGCCUUACUCAGUCAAAAUCCUCACAAGCUACUCGGGCAAUAGCAAAACAUGAUUCUCAACUCAAAAUAUCAUUUAAAAGAUCAUUUAAGUGUUAAAACAAAGUAAACAUGGCUGAGUUAUGAAAAUAGUGGAAUAUAGCAUGACUGAGUUCAAGUAUAAAGUUAAAACAAUGAGGAAAUAUCAAUAAGAAUCCCCUAAGGGUACAAAUAGUUGGCACGAAGCCCAAAUAUGGCAUUCAGCCCAAACAAGAUGAUAGCAAAUAGAUUUCAGUCAAAUACACGGUAAAAUAGUCAUCCGGGAUGGACUAAGUCACAAUCCCCAACAGUGCACGACCCCACGCUCGUCAUCUAGCGUGUGCGUCACCUUAAUAUAGCACAAUGAUAUGCAAUGCGGGGUUUCAUACCCUCAGAACAUCAUUUACAAUCAUUACUCACCUCAAUCCGGUGCAACCCUAGACCGCGACACCUUUGCCCCUCGAAUCGGCCUCCACUCGCAUCGAAUUUAUCCAAAAUCAGAAUCACGACGUCAAAAUAUGCUAAGGGAACGAAGACCAAGCGAAAAUAAUCAAUUUAUAGCAUAAUCCCAAAAUUACCAAAACCCGAUCCCCAAGCCCACAUCUCGGAAUUCAAUAAAAUUCACAUCAAUAGAUUCCUCAUCUCUCCACGAGUUCACACAUAUAAAAAGUACCAAAAUUCGACCACAAAUGGUCGCUCAAAUCCUCAAGUCCAGGUCUCCAAUACCAAACCCUAGUUUUCACCAAUUUUAACCCUUAAAUUCCAUUAGUUAUAACUCUAUUACGUGAAAUAAUACCAUAAGAACGAGUUUUAGGUCCAAAAUCCUUACCCUAAUGAAGUUCCCUUGAAAUCCUUCUUCAAAAUCGUCCAAAAAGCUCCCAAGCCGACUUAGAAAUGGUGGAAUGACUCAAAAAUUGCGAAGGAAACAAUUUAUAUGUUCUGGCCCAGGGAUUUCACAUCUGUGGCCCAAUUCCCGCUUCCACGGUACCGCAUUUGUGGCCAAUGAACCGCUUCUAUUGUUUUCACUAAAGCGACCAACAUCGCAUCUAUGAUGCUCACCCCGCACCUGCGGCCUCGCAUGUGCGGUUACCCAACCGCUUCUGCGAUCACAGCCUACCUCACCUUCUUCCUCUUCUGCGGUCUUCUCCCUAGCAUCUGCGACAUCGCACCUGCGGUCCCCAAUCCGCAGGAGCGGAAAUACCAGAAGCAGAAAAUCUACAACUUCAUCAAAAUCUCAAACUCUCCGUCAACCAUCCGAAAUCACCCCGAGGCUCCCGGGACCUCAACCAAUAACACCAACAUAUCCCAAAACUUUAUUCAAACUUAUACCAAUCUUCAAAACACCUCAAACAACAUCGGAUCAACCAAAACUCAACGGAUUCAAGCCUAAGUUUCCAAAAUCUUCUGAAUUCCGCUUUUGAUCAAAAACCCAACCAAACCACGUCCGAAUGACCUGAAAUUUUGCGCACACAUCUCAAAUGACCCAAUAGAACUACUGCAACUAUCGGAAUUCCAUUCUGACCCCUAUAUCAAAAUCUCACUCAUCAACCGGAAAUCGCCAAAAUACCAACUUCGCCAAUUCAAGCCUAAAUCUACUCCGGACCUCAAAAAUACAUUACGAUCACGCUCCUAUGUCCCAAAUCACCUUCCAAAGCUAUCUGAACCAUCAGAAUUCACAUCCGAGCCCUCUAACACAUAAGUCAACAUCCGAUUGACUUUUCCAACUUAAGUUUCCUCAAAAGAGACUAAGUGUCUCAAACCUUACCAAAUUAUUUCCGAACCCGAGCCAACCAACCUGAUCACAUAUAGAACUGAUACACAAAGCAAUAAGAAGCAGAAAUGGGAAAACAGAGUGGUAACUCAUGAGACGACUGGCCGGGUUGUCACAAAAAUGAAGGAGCAAAGAGGAGAUGUGAGUUUAAUUUUUAACAAAUAAUUUUAGAAAAGAAAAUAGUGUUAAUAAAAAUGAAUACUACUAAGCUUCAUUUAAAUAUUGACUAACUUCUUCGAACACAUUUUUUACAUAUUUGUCUACAUACAUGCAUUUAUAUUUUGUUUAGCAUAAAAGCAAUAUUCGUGGUCAAAGCAAUUAAACAAAUAUUUUAUGUUACUAAUAAUCGAUUUAACUCACUUUACAAGUAUGAACGAUAAGAAAAAAGAAUAAAUAUAAAAAAGGAACGAAUUGAGAGAUGGACAGUAAUAAAAAUCUUAUUGAUGAAUCUAGCUUUUCUUCUCGUGACGACCCGAUAGGUUAUUUUAAGUACUAGCCUUUAUUUUUGUGUUUCGAGAUCUCCCAUAGAUUCAUUUGAUAUUUUUUGAAUUGCGUGCAUGAUCCAUGUCACUUUUCGAAAAGCUUUAACGUAAAAUUUUGAAGAACAUAAUAUUUUUGACUUAAAAUAAAGCUAAAGUUGACCACGAUCAAUAUUUUUGAUAAACAACCUCGGAUCAGUGUUUUGACAAUUCCAGUAGAUUCGUAUGAUAUUUUUGGACUUGUAUACAUGUUUGGUUGGGGUCCGAGGUGACCCGAGUGCAUUUCGGCGCAUCAUGUGAAAGAUUGUGAAAAUUGAGUUUUCGAGUUGAAAUCUUGAGUUUUGAGGAUCAAUUCUUAUUAUUUGGUGUUAUUUUGAUGAUUUGAGGUAGCGAGCAAGUUUGUAUAAUAUUAUUACACUUGUGUUCAUGCUCAGUUUGGAGCUCAAGGGUUUCAUGUGAGUAUCAGAUGAGUUUGGAUGGUUUUAGAACUGUUGGUGCUCAGCAGUUGCUGGUGCAAGCCUGUAGCUCUCACAUUUGCGAGCUUCACUUUUGCGGUCAUGUGAUCGCAUUUGCGAAAGGCACUAGGAUUGGGAAAUUUUGCAUCUGCAAAAAAGGGAUCGCGUUUGCAAAAACUGGGAAAUCGCAAAUGCGAUUGGAGUCUAGCAUUUGCGACUCUGACUACUUUGGGGUAGCUUUGCAAAUCGACAACCUUCAACGAAACUCAUUUUCUUUGAUUCGUUUACCCUUUAUCCUUCAUGGCACUUACUUAUCGCUCGUUAUAAAUAGCAUAAAUGCGUAUAAUGUCAAGAUAAUCUCAUCCCGGAGUCUACGUCGAACUGAAGACGAAACUUUAACGUACGAAAACGCGAGAUGUAACAAGUGCACCUCCUAUUUAGAGUUAUCAGGGUGGUUAUUCAGGUCGAUAUGGUCAGUUCCAAGGCCAGCAGUCACAUCACCCGAGGACUUGUUAUACUUGUAGAGAUCCUAGACACGUCGCGUGGUUUUUCCCUAGGCCACAGAGCAAACUGCCACAACAAGAUACUCGUGCCAUGGUUCCGGCAUCGGUUGAUCCACCGCCCGUUCAGCCAGCCAGAGGCAGGGUUCAGGCAGCCCGAGGUAGUGGUCAAGCUAUUAGAGGUGGAUGCCAGUUAGCAAGAGGCCGUCCGAGAGAUGUAGAUUAGACUGGUGGGGCUCAGCUCCAUUUUUAUGCAUUUCCAGCUAAACCCGAGGUAGAGUCGUCUAAUGCGAUCAUCACUCAUAUUAUUCUGAUUUGCCAUAGAGAUGCCUCAGUUUUAUUUGAUCCGGGUUCCACUUAUUCGUAUGUGUCAUCCUAUUUUGAUUCAUAUCCAGAUGUGUCUCGUGAUUCCUUGAGUGUUCCUAUUUAUGUGUCUAUGCCUAUGGGAGAUUCUAUUGAGGUAGAUCAUGUUUAUCGCUUGUGUGUGGUCUUUAUCGGGGGUUAUGAAGCUAGGGUAGAUCUUUUUUUACUUAGUACGGUUGACUUUGAUGUUAUUUUGGGCAUGGACUGGUUUUCACAAUAUCACGCUAUUAUGGAUUCACGCUAAGACCGUGACACUGGCAAUGCCGGGAUUGCUGAGAUUGGAGUGGAUAGGUUCAUUGGGUUAUGUUUCUAGCAGGGUGAUAUCUUAUCUGAAGGCACAACAGAUGGUUAAGAAGGGGCGUUUGGCAUACUUAGCCUAUGUGGGGGAUGUUAGUAUCGAUACUCCUACCAUUGAGUCACUUUUGGUAGUGAGAGACUUUCCAUAUGUGUUUCUAGUAGACCUACUGGGCAUGCCACCCUAUAGGGACAUUGAUUUUAGUAUUGACUUGGCGCUGGGCACUCAGCCUAUCUAUAUUCUGCCAUAUCUCAUUGAAUCAAUGGAGUUGAAAGAAUUAAAGGAACAACUUCAAGAGUUGUUUGAUAAGGGUUUUAUCAGACCGAGUUUUUCGCCUUAGGGUGCUCCAAUCCUAUUUGUAAAGAAGAAAGGUGAAUCCAUGAGGAUGUGUAAUGAAUACAAGCACCUGAACAAGGCUACAGUCAAGAACAAACACCCACUACUCCUAUCAUCAGUUGAAGAUUCGAGCUUCGGACAUUCCGAAGAUGGCUUUCAGGACUAGCUGUUGUAACUAUGAGUUUCUGGUGAUGUCUUUUGGGCUGACCAAUGCCCUAACAGCUUUCAUACACUGAACAACGUGUUCCAACCAUACCUUGAUUUCUUCGUUAUCGUGUUCAUUGAUGACAUUUUGGCAUACUAUCGUGGCCGGGAGGAUCAUGAGCAGCACUUGAGGAACGUGCUCCACACUUUGAGGGAGAGGAAGCAAUAUGCUAAAUUCUCCAAGUGCAAGUUUUGGCUUGAUUCAGUGGCAUUCUUGGGCCACUUGGUAUUUAGUGAGGGAAUUAAGGUGUAUCUAAAGAAGAUUGAGGCAGUUCAUAUUUGGCCUAGAUCUACAUCAGCUAUAGAGAUUCGGAGCUUUUUGGGUUUGGUAGGUAACUAUGAGUUUAUGGAGGUUUUUCAUCCAUCGCAGCUCCUUUGUUUUUCCUCUUUGAAGAUGACACACUUAAAAUCUAUUCAUGGGCAGCGCUAAUGGUGAGUCUAGCUAUAGGAACAUACGCGGGACGAAUGCCACGAACAACUUCUUCUUCUUCGUCGUCGUCAGAGGCGCAGGUUUCUUUGUUUUUCCUCUUUGAAGAUGACACACUUAAAAUCUAUUCAUGGGCAGCGCUAAUGGUGAGUCUAGCUAUAGGAACAUACACGGGACGAAUGCCACGAACAACAAAUCCUGAGAAUAAUAGAAGGGGUCAGAAUAAGAGAAGCCAUAAAAACGAAAAUUCAUGGUAAAGUAAAAUAGAAUAUCGUAGGUUUUCACUUUCCAUCCAAACUUUUAAGAAACAAAAUUUUCAAGAUCUUUGAUCCAAAGGGGCGACAAACAACAUUUUUUCUACCCAAUCACGAAAGUCGGAAAGUUCACCAAAAACUUCCAUGGUUACUGAAAAGUAAGAAAAAAUGAAUGAGAAAAUCGAAAUUCUAAAAAAAUAAUGGCAAAGAAAAAUACUCAUGUGCAAAGUUCCACUUAUCAGCAAAAGGCAUGCUUUUAUCACCCAUUAAAUCAUGAGUGGGAACAACCAUGAACUGAGAGUACCAGCCACGUUCACGAUCAUUUUCGGGACUUGUCAUACCUCCUUUUUUCCGAGGGAUCGGGAGUUUUUUCGAUUAAAGUGAUAUUAAUCAAAGUGAGAGUAUUUAUUUAAUUUCAGAGUCGCCACUUGAAAUAAUUUAUGGUGUCCCAAGUCACCGAUUUAUUUUAAAUCCCAAAUCGAGGAAAUUUGACUCUCUUUAAGAGUCUGCAAAAACCAGAAGACCGGGUAAAGAAUUCUGUUAACCCGAGAGAAGGUGUUAGAAAUUUUCGGAUUCCGUGGUUUUAGCACGGUCUCUCAACUAUUAAUAAUUGGCCUAAUUAUGUGAUUUAUUACAUGUUUGAAACCUAUUGUGCCUUUUUUACCUUUCUAACCGCUUUUAGUUUUUCAAACGCUUUUUAGGAUUUAUGGAAUUUGUUUGAACAAGUCGUGAUGUCGCACACUCGUUUAUUUUUUGUACACAUUGCAAAUUGCGUCACGCGAGCCGCACCCACGAUCUACAACAUGUUUAUUUUUAUUAUUGUUUGAAGUUAUGGCCUCAUCACAUGAAACGCACACUCGUAUUGGGAAUUACGUAUCAUGACUAUGCCAUGAGAAUCGUACAUGUAGUCGCGAUGAUUUAUUAUUAAUCGCGCCUAAAGCAACUAGCGAAUUUGAAUUAUUUUCCUAAUCUUUGAGAUUAUUGUGAAGGCCAUAGGUUAUGAAAAUUAUUGUGGGAGGAAUAAAAUAAAUUAGUUAUAGACAAGUGUAUUAGCUUGUGAUCUUAUUGAUAUUUUGGAUCAGUUUCUAUCUAAACCCAUAUAUACUUAAAAAGGGUCAAUUUCUACAUGAUCAAACAGAAUCUUCAAUAUUUCCAAACCAAUUAAUUGUGAAAUGCAACAAAGGUUUAAACUGACAAUUUUAUUACGGCAAAAUGAAACAAAAUAAAGUAAAGUUCAAAGAUACAGAGAUAAACUAAAACAAAAUAUCAUGCUCGGUCUGAUAUUUAUGAAAAGAUACCAUAAAAUGGAGGAGCUUUUUUUACUUGUUUUUCAACUUUUCCUCAUAUUGCCGUGCAGCUAAUUAUCAGUAAUCAUUGCUAUGGCACUAGAUGCACUUAUUCUCUAUAUGAUAAUAGCAAUAUGAUUAUUACAUGAAAUUGUCUGGGAAAGAAAAAUGAGAAAGUGGGGUUGUUGUGAAUGGCAAGUUAAUUUGCUCCUGUUCUGCUUUUCUCUUUAAGGAAUUUAUUUCCAUGCCUAAUAGUUUCUGCUGUGUCAAAAACGUGAACCUUUACAUUGAAAGCAUUCUCGUUCAGUACUAACAAAUUAACGAAAAUAAAAGUAUCAAAAAUUAACAUGGCCAACAGGGAUUUGAUUAAUUACAGAAGAGGAAUUUCAAUUACAGACCCACCAACACAUGAAUCCAUCCAAUUACAUGAAUAAUUAUUCAUUUAUAGUGGCUAAACAUAUAAACAUAAGAAAAUUUCCAAUUACAUGGCCGUGGAUUCCAUUAGGUAAAACGUUAAUAAAAAACGACGGAAGAAAAGCACAUAUUAAACAACAAAAUCAUCUAUUAUGUGACAUACUAACAUAGUUUCAUUCAUAAAAAUUACAACGAAUUAUGUAUGGACUUAGAUCAUACCUAGAUUACCGAAUAAACAGCAAGGAGAGACCAAAUGUGGAACUCAUCAAGCAAUCCCAGCCGAGAAAUAACAGAAUUUCUAGUCGUGCGAAAACAAACAGUGAAACCGAAUAAAGGCUGAGAAGGAAACAAAUGAAGCUGAGCGAAGCAGUAAUCAGCAGCAACGAACUUAACCUUCAGCAGCUUUUAAACCCAGAAAAUCAUUACCCAAAGCUUGUUUUCAGAUCUCUUUUUGAGUUUUUGAAUUUUUGAAAGUUUUCGUUUCUAGCUCUAAGCUGAGUGCUUCUCGUGUGUGAGCCUUCAGAUGUGUGUGUAUCGACUGAUUUUUUAGAAGAGAAAGAGUGAGGUCUAUCCGUCUUCUGCUCUCUUGUUGAAGAUGAGAAGGUGAGAGAUAGAAGAGGGGGUAACGGCGCUAGAUCUUAAGGGCGGGAUCUGAUUAUUUCUUUGAGGGUUAAAGGGAAUAGGGGUUACAAUGAGGGAGAAAAUUGGGUCGGUCCGGGUCAUGGGGAAUGGGC